UCUUGAUGUGACAACGAAUCCGAAUUUUAGAAUUAGAAAGUCUGUGUCAAUUGACUGAUCUAAGUUACAAUAAACUGGAAACUCAAAACUUUCCUAACGCAAAGUCAACAAACCAAACCAAGUCUCCGCCCCCAAAUGUGACCUCGAAAGUGCUGCAAAACGAAUCAACGAUGUUUCGGGAGAGUUAGUCAUUGUUAGUCUUCCACAAAGCGCGCCUGUGCAACGUGAGAAUAAAUGGUUUGGGGAGCGACGAAAAUGUAGAGAUACUAUAUAAAAUCCCCUCACCCACCAUUUACCUAACUUCACAUUCUUAGACUUCAGCGUCGCGUCGCGUCGCGUUGUGUCGUUACGUUAGCACUCGCAACAUGUUCGAAGUCCGACACGUUGCAUUGUUGACUGCGCUGCUGCUGGAAAAACGUGAGUAGGCCAAGACGGCAAACGUGACGGUAAGUUCGAUGUGAUAUCGGACUGGCCUACUGAACAGGUGAUGGCACUCGGGGGGUGCGCAAGGCAAUGAAUGCAUAGAUUGAGCAAUUUACAUUGUAUGGCGCUGGCACGUUGUCAAACAAACGAAGUCGAAAACUGGCGCUUGCAGCACAUGUGAAAGGUGGAAGGUAGAAGGUGGAGCACGCCCCCCGCUAAGUGGACUGAUGUGAGUUUGUAUUCUAAGCAAUUAUUAAAUACAUAUGUUAAAUACGAUCAUUACAUUAAUAAAUUUUUGCAUUUUGUUUCAUAAACAAUAACAUUGUCCGUUUUAUUUACUGUUUAUCGGUCGCAAUUGGAGGGUACUUGAGAAACCAUUUGACAUAAGCAGCAAUCGCAAUCGCAGCGACGCGACGCGACGCGACGCAACAACAAAGAAAGAAAGCAGCCGCUUUGCCUCAACUACAUAUUGAGAGUGACAUUUAUCUGGGUCCAGGGAUCUUCAUUACUUUUAUAUUAUAAUAAUUACAUGGUAAUAAUUAUAUUUUAAUUUAUUAUGAAUUUUGUAAACAAUAAUAAUUUUUUUGUAAUUAAUUCAAUAGAAUUUGCGACUAUACAAUAUAAUAAAAAAAGUGCUUAAGUAAUUGCACAAAUACAACAACAAUUCUAUAGUAAAAAACCCUACUAGUUUAGUGAUUCUUUUGUAAGGGUAUGAAGUAAUGAAAUUAAAACUAAAAAAAAAGAUGUGUUACUUAUAGAACUCCGCCUGAGUAAACCAGAAAGUCUAGGUAAUAAUAAAGAUACACGAUUGUGUUAUUAAGGCAUGUCUAAUGGGUAUUACUGACUCAAUCGAUAUUAAAUAAAAAAUACAAUGUUAAGAGAUAAAAAUAUAUAUUUGAAUCGAAAGCUUAGGUUAGUACUUGUUAGUUAAUACUAUGUUUGUACAUUUUAAGAUAAACAUAGUAAGCUAAAUAAAACUGAUAAAGAGAAACUCAAUUUUGUGAUGUCUAACGGAAUUAUGUAACGCCUUAAGAAAAAGUACCCAAAUCUGUAUCUUUGUCAUACAUACAAACGUACAUAAGUAAUUGGGCCAAAUGGUAAACGGUGAAAAUGGUACACAAAGCAGACAGUAACAAAAACACACACACAUAGCGAUAACCGAUAAGCGCAACGAAAGACAAUGCCAAACAAGUUUUCAGAAUUAGGUAAACGGCAUUAUUAGAGCCACAUUUCGAGUCCAUUAUACCGUUAGAAAGAACAAGAAUCGUCAGAGCGACGAUCAAUGGGUCGCUCAGUUAGUCUUUCAGCCUUCGGUUAGACAAUAAACAGCACAACACGAUGAAACGCAACUCAAGGCAACGCAACGUUAACAAAGCAACGCAACAAAAAGAAAGAGCCCGCAAGAUUUUCGUCUUAUGUAACCAAUUACAAUAAGAAUGAUAAUAAAGAAAGCCCGGCUACAACUACAGCAACAUCGAAACGAAGCCCAAGCAGCGUGAGCGCUUCGUUCUUACUUUCUCCUCAAAAGUAGGCCGCCAGAGCACGAUUAACAAACACACUCAGACACACACACACUCGUCGAGUAAUUACGAAACUUUCACGCAAGACACAAGCACACACACAAAU